GUAAGAAAAUUCCAUCCAACGGCUCAAGCACACGUCCAUUCAUCCAUUAUUCAUUUCCGUUCAUACAUCAUACAUUCAUAUAAUCUAACUUAUACUAUGGCCAUCCACACUAUUCCAUUAUAAAAAUAGGUGACUGUGCCUGGCUACACUUCUAAUGUAAGGACAUUUUGAAAUUGGAACUGUGCAUAGUGAGCUCGAUACUUAAAAAUCUGUACUGGCUGGUCAUAAUGAGCAUGAGGACUUGAGCUACUCCACACGCAGUACGGAUUUUAAUGACCAUCAAAGAAGAUUUAUUGGGGCGGAGGCAAACAGCCCUCAUACUGGCUGACAGGUAUCUGAUAUAAAAAGGAGUAACUUAGGCUCCUUUUUAUCUCCAUCUCGUAUCCCGAUCCCGAAGUUAAGCGUUAUCACGCUCGAGUGGGAGACGGGAGGCAUGCGGCG